CCAAAGGCUCUUUUAAGAGCCACCACAUGCACAAUAAAAAGAGCUGU
rfam:Ficedula albicollis isolate OC2 chromosome 1A, whole genome shotgun sequence.